rnacentral:rRNA from 1 species
AUUGAACGCUGGCGGCAGGCCUAACACAUGCAAGUCGAAUGGUAACAGGAAACAGCUUGCUGUUUCGCUGACGAGUGGCGGACGGGUGAGUCAUGUCUGGGAAACUGCCUGAUGGAGGGGGAUAACUACUGGAAACGGUAGCUAAUACCGCAUAACGUCGCAAGACCAAAGAGGGGGACCUUCGGGCCUCUUGCCAUCAGAUGUUCCCAGAUGGGAUUAGCUAGUAGGUGGGGUAACGGCUCACCUAGGCGACGAUCCCUAGCUGGUCUGAGAGGAUGACCAGCCACACUGGAACUGAGACAGGGUCCAGACUCCUACGGGAGGCAGCAGUGGGGAAUAUUGCACAAUGGGCGCAAGCCUGAUGCAGCCAUGCCGCGUGUAUGAAGAAGGCCUUCGGGUUGUAAAGUACUUUCAGCGGGGAGGAAGGGAGUAAAGUUAAUACCUUCGCUCAUUGACGUUACCCGCAGAAGAAGCACCGGCUAACUCCGUG